GGGGAUGCCAAGGAUUCGACAAGAAUAAUUGACUCUCAAAUGCAGUGGGGUUUGCCCCUUACAGCUAUCGAGGUUGCUCACAUGCAGACUCACAAGAAGACAAUGUUAACUUAGAUGAAGCAUUCAUAAUUAACAAAUUGUCAGCACAAAACAAUUUAAACUACGCUUUUGUAGCUUAAACUUUUGUGUCUUAAGGCAUUAAGGUUAGAUCACUUACCUUAAUGCAUUAGAAUAAGUGAUUAUGUUAAGCAGAUGUCUAUAAGCUUAAUGAAAUUAAUAGACUAGUUAUAUUUAAGGUUGUUCUAAUACCUUCAGAAUAUAAUGAAAUGCUAAAUUAGAACUAAACUGUAGAAUUUGUUAGAAUAUUAUUUUUGGAAAUGGGUUCAAUUCCCAUCAUCUCCGCCA
rnacentral:tmRNA from 1 species